GCCCGUGCUGGGGACCUGGGGAAAGAGUGGAUCAAAUCGCCACUGCCCACCUGGACUUGGAGAUGAGCGGUACUGUUGACAGAAGACAUUACCAUGUGCAAGUUGAGGAUGCUGGAGGUGGCUAGGAGAGGACCAGAGGCUGCCACAGUCCAAGAUCUGUGUAAAUGUUCAAAAGAUGUCAUCCCUGCAGAAGUCCAAAUGCACCAAAAGACACAGUGAGCGAGUGUUCUGACGUCCCAGGCCCCCUCUGCCAGGAGGGCUGCUGAAGUUUCCUACCCACUAGUCUACGGAUGCAGAAGCCUCAAGAGAUUUUAGAAAAGAAUGAGAUUCUCUCUCACCAUGGGAUGUUGGUGUGCAGGCUUCAACGUGAUCCUCUCAUCUCACUGGAGAAGUGCAACUGGCCAAAUGCAGGGAGUCCUCUACAUACAAACCUUCAAGUUGCAAACUUUAAGAGAUGCAAACGUGCAUUCAUAUGUCCAAUCAUGGUCCCAACCUGCAGGCUGUGCUCACCUGCUCUCCGUCUGUCCCCAGUGUGGCUGCUUGUAGCUCGGUGGCUGCUUGUAGCUUGGCAACUGCAAAGUUUUUCUCUGUGCUUGAGCUGAGGUCAGCUGCUGCAAAUGCACCUGGGAGGCUGCCGAUGCUGAUAGGGGAGAGAUGAGGUCUCACCAAGUUGCCUGGGCUGGUCUAUGGG